rnacentral:rRNA from 1 species
CCUACGGGUGGCAGCAGUGAGGAAUAUUGGUCAAUGGUCGGGAGACUGAACCAGCCAAGCCGCGUGAGGGAUGACUGUCCUAUGGGUUGUAAACUUCUUUUAUAUGGGAAUAAAGUCCGGUACGUGUACCGCUUUGCAUGUACCUUAUGAAAAAGGAUCGGCUAACUCCGUGCCAGCAGCCGCGGUAAUACGGAGGAUGCGAGCGUUAUCCGGAUUUAUUGGGUUUAAAGGGAGCGGAGGCGGGUUGUUAAGUCAGUGGUGAAAGUUUGCGGCUCAACCGCAGAAGUGCAGUUGAUACUGGCAGCCUUGAGUACGGGAGAGGUAGGCGGAAUGCGUGGUGUAGCGGUGAAAUGCGUAGAUAUCACGAAGAACUCCGAUUGCGAAGGCAGCCUGCUGGACUGUAACUGACGCUGAUGCUCGAAAGUGUGGGUAUCAAACAGGAUUAGAUACCCCAGUAGUC